GAUCUACUCUCUCCGUACCGAAUUACUUGUCUUGAAUUUGUCUACAUACAGAUAUAUCUAGACUCAUUUUAGUAUUAGAUACUUUCAUAUCUAGACAAAUUUAAGACAGGUAAUUCGGAACGAAGGGAGUACUUC
rfam:Triticum urartu cultivar G1812 contig861755, whole genome shotgun sequence.